GAUGAAGAACGUAGCGAAAUGCGAUAAGUAAUGUGAAUUGCAGAAUUCCGUGAAUCAUCGAAUCUUUGAACGCACAUUGCGCCCCCUGGUAUUCCGGGGGGCAUGCCUGUCCGAGCGUCAUUGCAACCUUCAAGCGCGGCUUGUGUGUUGGGUCUCGUCCCCCGUGGACGGGCCCGAAAGGCAGUGGCGGCGUCCCGACAUGGUGCCCGAGCGUAUGGGAAUCCUCUUCCGCUCGAAUCGGCCCAUGCGGAGCUGGUCGUAACCAAAUUUUUUACCGGUUGACCUCGGAUCAGGUAGGGAUACCCGCUGAACUUAAGCAUAUCAAUAAGCGGAGGA
rnacentral:misc_RNA from 1 species